AACUUUCAGGUCAACUUUAUAGCUCUACGUUUUCUCGCUUAUCAUGCACGCAUUUGUACGUGUGGAUGUACCGGCAUGGCUAGGAAUGUCACACGAGCAUCAGGGAUGACUAAACUGAAUACAAUGGAAACAGAGAGAAUCCACUAUUGGUUAGUACUAUUGUAGCUACAGUGCGGACUGAAUAAUGAAUGCGCCGGCAGAAGAUCACGGGCCUAAGAUUUGUGGAUCGGGCAUAAUGGUUGCCCAUAAGGGAAAUCAGUAUCAGCUGGGUAGUAUACAGUGCAAGUCGGGACUCGAGCAAGCGGUAGGAACUGUUAUUAUCGCGUAAAUUCUACUUCGAGGUAAACAGCGAUGGAGGCUGACCCGUUAGGAGGAUAACGGAGGAAAGAAGUUCUGCCUUGAGUUGCGAGUUCGCCCGGCCACGACUUCGUUCCAGCGGCCCGUAGGAAUCUGGCCGGCCUGUUGCCGCAGCCGACGCGACCGGCGCGCUAGUUAAAACAGCAAAUCGCCUUGAAGCCAGUCCUCUUUUUUUUUCUUUCAUUCUUUUUCUCUCCUUUCUUUUUCUAUCCCAGUUACCAGCGCGACUCGAGUAGCUACACUCGUGAUCGGCCUCUACUUAUACAUAGUGCUGUGGCCACGGGCGUCUCCUGCGAGUUGAUUAACCCGCCAUGACUGCGAACGUGACGGAGGAUGGGCUGUUGUACUUAUUUUCAUUUUCUGCAACGACGAGCAGCAGGGGGAAGGAGAAGAAGAGAAAUAAAGAAGAGUGGACGCUUAAGCAGAAAGUCGAGGCAAUUAAUUAGCGUGAUUAGCGAUCCAGCAAUGGUGAGCUCAACUGCGUCUCUCGAUGCUCCAUAUCUCAUGUUGGCUUUGCCAGGCAGAGGCAAAAGGAUUUUCUCUGGUUAAAGACAAAAAAAA